rnacentral:piRNA from 1 species
UCAGUUGGGUACCUUAGUGGUGGUUUCUGAA